ACGUUCAGGUAAUCGCUGCAGUCUUUAGGGCUGUAGAGGAAAGUCCAUGCUCGCACGGUGCUGAGAUGCCCGUAGUGUUCGUGCCUAGCGAAGUCAUAAGCUAGGGCAGUCAAGGAUCUUGGCUGACGGCAGGGAAAAAGCCUAAGUCCCUUUGGGAUAUGGCUUGAAUACCUUGAAAGUGCCACAGUGACGUAGUCUUCCGGGAAACCUGAAGAGUGGAACGCGGUAAACCCCUCGAGCGAGAAACCCAAAUAUAGGUAGGGGCACCUUCUCUUAGGAAUUGAACAAGGAGAAGGCCGGAAGCAUAGCUUCUGUAGAUAGAUGAUUACCACCGGAGUACGAGGUAUACCGGCCGAUUGCAGUACAAAGGGACAAAACAUGGCUUACAGAA
rnacentral:RNase_P_RNA from 2 species